rnacentral:rRNA from 1 species
UACGUAGGGGGCAAGCGUUGUCCGGAAUCAUUGGGCGUAAAGAGCGCGUAGGCGGUCCGGUAAGUCCGCUCUGAAAGUCCGGGGCUCAACCCCGGGAGGCGGGCGGAUACUGUCGGGCUAGAGUCCGGAAGAGGCGAGUGGAAUUCCUGGUGUAGCGGUGAAAUGCGCAGAUAUCAGGAGGAACACCAAUGGCGAAGGCAGCUCGCUGGGACGGUACUGACGCUGAGGCGCAAAAGCGUGGGGAGCAAACAGG